UACGUAGGGUGCGAGCGUUGUCCGGAAUUAUUGGGCGUAAAGAGCUUGUAGGCGGUCUGUCGCGUCUGCUGUGAAAAUCCGGGGCUCAACCCCGGACUUGCAGUGGGUACGGGCAGACUAGAGUGUGGUAGGGGAGACUGGAAUUCCUGGUGUAGCGGUGAAAUGCGCAGAUAUCAGGAGGAACACCGAUGGCGAAGGCAGGUCGCUGGGCCGUAACUGACGCUGAGGAGCGAAAGCAUGGGGAGCGAACAGG
rnacentral:rRNA from 1 species